AAUGGAAAAGUCCAUGAGCAGCUGGACGUCAUGCCUGGAACUCAGGGCAUUUCUCCCUCUGAAAAGACUUGGGUUCUCGAAGUGCUGGAGAGCGAGGCCUGACACGUCUCUUACCAUGGCAACUAUGCUUGGACGCUGACAGGGCCAAUUACUGUGUAUCCUACAGUAUGGUGACGCCAGGCUCUCAGGGUCCUGUGGGCCCCCAACUGUCACUUGUCAGUGUUCUCCAAACAGUGACCUCUUUCUUUUCUCUCUGCUUGUCUCUCCUGCCCCCAGCCUCCUAUACAAACAAAACAGACUCAGCCCUUUGCAAACACACCUGGCAGCAGGAAGAACAGGCUGUGGCAAUGUUUCACAUGGGUCCUGGCAACAGGUCAGACCCGGGGUGCGCUGUGUUUGUCUUGGAGAACAAGCCACAUCCUUGAGAGGAUGAGGGUGACAGGUUAUUGGGCAAUUGGAUGUAUAGAUCCUAGGUCUGUAGUUGAGCUCUUAAGGGAGGUGUG
rnacentral:lncRNA from 1 species